UACGUAGGGGGCAGGCGUUAUCCGGAAUUACUGGGUGUAAAGGGUGAGUAGGCGGCAUGGUAAGCCAGAUGUGAAAGCCUUGGGCUUAACCCGAGGAUUGCAUUUGGAACUAUCAAGCUAGAGUACAGGAGAGGAAAGCGGAAUUCCUAGUGUAGCGGUGAAAUGCGUAGAUAUUAGGAAGAACACCAGUGGCGAAGGCGGCUUUCUGGACUGAAACUGACGCUGAGGCACGAAAGCGUGGGGAGCGAACAGG
rnacentral:rRNA from 1 species